rnacentral:rRNA from 1 species
UGCCAGCCGCCGCGGUAAUACGGAGGGGGUUAGCGUUGUUCGGAAUUACUGGGCGUAAAGCACACGUAGGCGGCCGUACAAGUUGGAUGUGAAAGCCCUGGGCUCAACCCAGGAAGUGCAUCCAAAACUGUAUGGCUCGAGUACCGAAGGGGGUCAGAGAAUUCCCGGUGUAGAGGUGAAAUUCGUAGAUAUCGGAAGGAACACCAGUGGCGAAGGCGACUUCCUGGGCCAAUACUGACGCUGAGGUGCGAAAGCGUGGGGAGCAAACAGGAUUAGAUA